ACUCCUACGGGAGGCAGCAGUAGGGAAGUCUUCCACAAUGGGCGCAAGCCUGAUGGAGCAACACCGCGUGAGUGAAGAAGGGUUUCGGCUCGUAAAGCUCUGUUGUUAAAGAAGAACACGUAUGAGAGUAACUGUUCAUACGUUGACGGUAUUUAACCAGAAAGUCACGGCUAACUACGUGCCAGCAGCCGCGGUAAUACGUAGGUGGCAAGCGUUAUCCGGAUUUAUUGGGCGUAAAGAGAGUGCAGGCGGUUUUCUAAGUCUGAUGUGAAAGCCUUCGGCUUAACCGGAGAAGUGCAUCGGAAACUGGAUAACUUGAGUGCAGAAGAGGGUAGUGGAACUCCAUGUGUAGCGGUGGAAUGCGUAGAUAUAUGGAAGAACACCAGUGGCGAAGGCGGCUACCUGGUCUGCAACUGACGCUGAGACUCGAAAGCAUGGGGUAGCGAACAGGAUUAGAUACCCUGGUAGGAUAGCG
rnacentral:rRNA from 1 species